UACGGGGGGGGGCAAGCGUUGUUCGGAAUUACUGGGCGUAAAGGCUCGUAGGCGGCCAACUAAGUCAGACGUGAAAUCCCUCGGCUUAACCGGGGAACUGCGUCUGAUACUGGAUGGCUUGAGAUUGGGAGAGGGAUGCGGAAUUCCAGGUGUAGCGGUGAAAUGCGUAGAUAUCGGGAGGAACACCUGUGGCGAAAGCGGCUCACUGGACCAUUACUGACGCUGAGGCUCGAAAGCUAGGGGAGCAAACAGG
rnacentral:rRNA from 1 species